GACGUAGGGCGCGAGCGUUGUUCGGAAUUACUGGGCGUAAGGGCUCGUAGGCGGCCAACUAAGUCGGAUGUGAAAUCCCCAGGCUUAACCUGGGAACUGCAUCCGAUACUGGAUGGCUUGAAUUCGGGAGAGGGAUGCAGAAUUCCAGGUGUAGCGGUGAAAUGCGUAGAUAUCUGGAGGAAUACCGGUGGCGAAGGCGGCAUCCUGGACCGAGAUUGACGCUGAUGAGCGAAAGCUAGGGGAGCAAACGGGG
rnacentral:rRNA from 1 species